rnacentral:sRNA from 1 species
ACACCAUGGAAGGUUCUCCUGGGACUGCUGGGGGCUGCUGCGCUUGUCACCAUCAUCACCGUGCCCGUGGUUCUGCUGAACAAAGGCACAGAUGAUGCUACAGCUGACAGUCGCAAAACUUACACUCUAACUGAUUACUUAAAAAAUACUUAUAGACUGAAGUUAUACUCCUUAAGAUGGAUUUCAGAUCAUGAAUAUCUCUACAAACAAGAAAAUAAUAUCUUGGUAUUCAAUGCUGAAUAUGGAAACAGCUCAGUUUUCUUGGAGAACAGUACAUUUGAUGAGUUUGGACAUUCUAUCAAUGAUUAUUCAAUAUCUCCUGAUGGGCAGUUUAUUCUCUUAGAAUACAACUAUGUGAAGCAAUGGAGGCAUUCCUACACAGCUUCAUAUGACAUUUAUGAUUUAAAUAAAAGGCAGCUGAUUACAGAAGACAGGAUUCCAAACAACACACAGUGGGUCACAUGGUCACCAGUGGGUCAUAAAUUGGCAUAUGUUUGGAACAAUGACAUUUAUGUUAAAAUUGAACCAAAUUUACCAAGUCACAGAAUCACAUGGACUGGGAAAGAAGAUAUAAUAUAUAAUGGAAUAACUGACUGGGUUUAUGAAGAGGAAGUCUUCAGUGCCUACUCUGCUCUGUGGUGGUCUCCAAACGGCACUUUUUUAGCAUAUGCCCAAUUUAACGACACAGAAGUCCCACUUAUUGAAUACUCCUUCUACUCUGAUGAGUCACUGCAGUACCCAAAGACUGUACGGGUUCCAUAUCCAAAGGCAGGAGCUGUGAAUCCAACUGUAAAGUUCUUUGUUGUAAAUACAGACUCUCUCAGCUCAGUCACCAAUGCAACUUCCAUACAAAUCACUGCUCCUGCUUCUAUGUUGAUAGGGGAUCACUACUUGUGUGAUGUGACAUGGGCAACACAAGAAAGAAUUUCUUUGCAGUGGCUCAGGAGGAUUCAGAACUAUUCGGUCAUGGAUAUUUGUGACUAUGAUGAGUCCAGUGGAAGAUGGAACUGCUUAGUGGCACGGCAACACAUUGAAAUGAGUACUACUGGCUGGGUUGGAAGAUUUAGGCCUUCAGAACCUCAUUUUACCUCUGAUGGUAAUAGCUUCUACAAGAUCAUCAGCAAUGAAGAAGGUUACAGACACAUUUGCUAUUUCCAAAUAGAUAAAAAAGACUGCACAUUUAUUACAAAAGGCACCUGGGAAGUCAUCGGGAUAGAAGCUCUAACCAGCGAUUAUCUAUACUACAUUAGUAAUGAAUAUAAAGGAAUGCCAGGAGGAAGGAAUCUUUAUAAAAUCCAACUUAGUGACUAUACAAAAGUGACGUGCCUUAGUUGUGAGCUGAAUCCGGAAAGGUGUCAGUACUAUUCUGUGUCAUUCAGUAAAGAGGCGAAGUAUUAUCAGCUGAGAUGUUCCGGUCCUGGUCUGCCCCUCUAUACUCUACACAGCAGCGUGAAUGAUAAAGGGCCGAGAGUCCUGGAAGACAAUUCAGCUUUGGAUAAAAUGCUGCAGAAUGUCCAGAUGCCCUCCAAAAAACUGGACUUCAUUAUUUUGAAUGAAACAAAAUUUUGGUAUCAGAUGAUCUUGCCUCCCCAUUUUGAUAAAUCCAAGAAAUAUCCUCUACUAUUAGAUGUGUAUGCAGGCCCGUGUAGUCAAAAAGCAGACACUGUCUUCAGACUGAACUGGGCCACUUACCUUGCAAGCACAGAAAACAUUAUAGUAGCUAGCUUUGAUGGCAGAGGAAGUGGUUACCAAGGAGAUAAGAUCAUGCAUGCAAUCAACAGAAGACUGGGAACAUUUGAAGUUGAAGAUCAAAUUGAAGCAGCCAGACAAUUUUCAAAAAUGGGAUUUGUGGACAACAAACGAAUUGCAAUUUGGGGCUGGUCAUAUGGAGGGUACGUAACCUCAAUGGUCCUGGGAUCGGGAAGCGGCGUGUUCAAGUGUGGAAUAGCCGUGGCGCCUGUAUCCCGGUGGGAGUACUAUGACUCAGUGUACACAGAACGUUACAUGGGUCUCCCAACUCCAGAAGACAACCUUGACCAUUACAGGAAUUCAACAGUCAUGAGCAGAGCUGAAAAUUUUAAACAAGUUGAGUACCUCCUUAUUCAUGGAACAGCAGAUGGUGAGUUUCAGUUAAUUAGACUUUUUAGUAUCACAGACAGGUUUGCAAUUUCACUACUGACAAAACAAAAGCAUGAGGGGCAAGACUGUUACAUUUACUUCAAUAAAACAGUGUUGCUUUCC